CCCAUACCUCCCAUCACUCCUGCCCCUUAGCUCAAAAAAAGGCACUCCUGCCCCAGCCCCAGACCUCGCCGCCGGCGUCCAUGUCGUCGUUUCUCCACCGUCUCCCCCUCGUCCACACCCAAAACCCUACGCGGCGGAGGCGGCGCCGGAGCGCGAGACGGAGCGAGGCGAGUGGCCUCUCUGCUCACUCGCUCGGCUCCUGCUGUCUUGCCUUUCCCCUCCCCUCCCCCGCGAGCCGAGGACAGGCUGAAAAUUGGAAAUGCGCUCGUCUCGGUCGGUCGGACCGUCGGACCGCGUGACCGUUGAAGAAUAAUGCAGCAACCGGUGGUCCAAGAUUGUAAAAUGCUGAGAAGUCUCUGAUGUUAAAAUUUUGCCGCCAUCCUGGUGCAUAAACUGUCUGCCGUGCUCCCUGUUUGAAUAGCACAAAAACAAGCCGAUGAAUACCGGCUGGUGGCCGUGGAGCUUCAUAGGGAACUAUUUCAUUGCCUGAAACAUUUGUAUUCUAUAUUAGACUUGCUUUGCACAAUUCAAUUUUUUUAAGGUGAAGAAUAAAUUUGACCAUUUCACAAUAUGGACUGCCACUGUUCUAACUAUUUUGGGCGACAAGCUCCUCAUCAGUUUGACAUAGAUAUUCCCUGUAGUUCAGUGCCAUUACUGCUGAGCCUGCUCCUUUUAUACUCGCUGUAAAUUCAGUAAAUAUAGAUAAUGUCCUGUGAUGCCUUAUUUGUUGACCUUCUUCUCAAACUAUAUACCUUAAGCUAUAUGUGCGGUUGGUCUCUACAGCCCAAUAUCAUGUGCUGCAUAUCCACCAUUGCAUCCAGACAUAAACAUAGAAAUAUUGAAGUUGAAGAUAGACUAUCUACAGGCGGAACGUUUCCAUUAGCGAGCAUAUAGAAAAAGGAGAUAGGUCAUUUGGUUGCCUAUCAUUAAAUGCAAUAAUAAAAUAGUAAACUCAUGAGCUGUGGCAUGUUAUGGAAUUUCUGUUUAGUCUGCUAAAAGCAUUCCAAAUUCUGUUUAAAAUGUGAAAUCUGCUUGCAAUCUUGAUUGAAUGGCAGAGAAGCAUGUCUAUCUGCUAGCCCAAGCCUAACAGAUUGGCUAAGCCAGGUAAAUGGAAUGGGCUGGUAUAUGGCUCGAAAGAAGUCUGCCAUACAUUUUCUUACUGCUAAUGUAGUAAUUUGGCCAAGUCACAUUGCUAGUAUCUUUUCUGUGGGAACAUGACACUAGUGCUUUGUGAUAACCAUAACUAUGGUUUGUCUGCUUGUGCUAAUACGUAUGUGUGAACUCUAGUAGGCAGCAUCUUAAGGGAGGCUAUAAAGCACCGUGAUAAUUUUUCAGAUUAGUGUUCUAAGUGGCAUUCUAGUAUUUUGUCUUCACUUGGAAAUGGAAGUUCCCAUGUUUGAAGAAUCUGAAGUAUGUCUAAAUUUGGAAUAUAGGUGCAUCUUGUAUUUAUGCUGGCCACAGGUCAAACAUUGUAUACUGUCAAGCAGUGAAGCAGGUAACAGUUUCCAUCAACUUGAUGUCCAAUUGAGAUCUCACCACAUUGACAAAUGUCAUCAAGUGGGGCCCACAGAAAGUUACAUGGUGUCAGAUACUCAACUGGGGCACUGUUGGCAGAUAAAUACUGUCCAACUGCUUAACCUGCAUCAAAGACAGGUGCAGUCACAUAUUAGAGCGGGGCACCCCCCCCCCCCCCCCCUCUCUCUAAGGUGCUUUGCAUUUGACUCACAUGUAUGAGGUAUCUGUAUUUGAGAUGGUUAUGUAUAGUUUAGCCUUCAGUAGGGUAAUCAUAAAACUUUACUUGGAAACUAGAUAGAGUUUAUUCGUCUCAAACUCUCAGUUGCUGCAGUGUCACCUUAAAUCCAAAAAGAUUAAGUAUAAGGGUAUAGAACAAAAAUGCCUAAUUAAAGACAAAGAAUCUCAGCAUAUGGUAUAUUAGCCUAUUAAAUAAACCUAAUAUGCAUGUGUCAGUGACUGAAAGUGUACUCCUGUUUGCGAUUAGUUUGACGAUGGCUUGAAUUAACCAUUGACUUGAUUCGUACUUUUUUUUGAGUAGUUGCAAUAAUUCUCUAAAACCCUUGUGCACAUCUUCGCUUGCAAAUUUUAUUUUGUUGGAAUUUAUGUUGUCAUUUGUCAUAUACUACCUCCGCUAGCCUACCAAAACAUCAUAUAUUUUAGAACGGAGGUAGUAGUUCAUUAAGUAGCGGGCUUAUGUGAUUGUUCGAGCCAAAGGAUUUCAAAGUACAGAACAAUGAAUAUAAUUUUUUUUGUGUGCAUGGAGCAAUUGAGGAAAGAUAUUGAUACCCAAAUAAUCUGAGUAGUUUGCCGAUUGUGUUAUAUGAUAAAUUGUUCAACCGUCUGCAUAUGUCAUGUAUGAUUGUUCGACUAUUGGAGAUUAUGUAAGGCGUUACCCACCAAAACGUGCAUCUGUUGCCUCUGGGAUGUCUGUCACCAACCUGUACAAAAUAACCAACAAGACAACACCUUUAGAUCAUUGAUCAGCAACAGGACUGUUCAUACAUGAUGCAAUAUAAGCUACAUAAACCUAUGCCUAAAUCAUGUCAAAUUAAGGAAAAAACAAUGUACGAUUAAAUUGAAAGUUUUUUAAGGAGUUUUAAGUUGAAGAAACAUGAAUCCGAUUAAUUUAUUAGUUAUAUGGUUUUUUUUAGAUUGGUGAUACUUUCUUAAUAGCAAGUAGCUAACAAAAUAUUGACCAAUCAGCCAAACAAAAAACUUGGUGUCACAAAUAGGCAGCAUGUUGAGUCAGAGGAACGUAUGGAAAUGUCAGUGUUUGGUACAAAAUCAGUUACCCGUAAGUUUAUCCAGCAGGAAAUGUGAGCAAUACGUGUUAACUUUAAGCAUUAGCUGCUUAGCUCUAGCACCAUUUUUCCUCUAACAGUACUAUUGAGAUUGCAUCAAUGCAUAUCUUGAUGCUUUUCAUGUUGAUGUCAUAUUUAAUGCCUUCUUCAAUUAAUGUGUUUGUCCCAGCUCACCAUAUCCUAUAUACCUAAGAGAUUCAUCUCCACUAUCUUAUUUAUCUUGACAUGCAGCCUAUUCACAUCAUCAAGUAGGUUCACCAUGUAAAAAGCUUUCCCACUAAAUCUUCAUGCGCAUGCUCUCAGUAAUUCUCCCGGAACCUUAUUAAGGGCCAUCUUUUCACUACUUUGUGUUUUGAAGUAAUUAAUAAUCAAAUUUUCAGAGUACCUAGUCCAUGAGAAGGUGGUAAAACAUCUUCUUGGAGACUGUAGAAACUAUUAAGAUUUAUGCUGCAAUAUUUGGUUAUUUAAUUUCCGUGCUACCAAACAGUAUCUACAGGAAAACUAAUGAAUGUUGAUAAAAAUGGCAAUCUAAACAAAGAGACUUAGGUUAAGGGAGUUAUGGUGCUAGAAAAGAAUUAGGUUACCGCAAUACUGUACUUUCUUACCCAAUAGCAUACAGAACAAGAGUUCCUCAGCUGUUGAUGGAUGGAAAAGAAACACCCCCCUCCUUUUUUGAGAGGGCUGCAUUCCAAUCCUGCAGGUUAUCUAUGUAAGGGGUUCUUGAACUAUAAACAUAAAAACAAUGUUGCAAGAAGCAGUCAUAGGUUUCUUAAGAAAUUUGGCAUCAUUAGGUUAAGGAAGAAACUAUGCAGUACUGUGUAAUAAAUAUAACAUGCUCACCAAUGCAAAUAUUCCCUGUAUUCCGGUUUGCUUGGACUUGGCGCGUCAGGAUCCACCAUAACCUUAUAAGAUGGGACAUUUCUAUCUUAGCAUUGAGAUAAAGACAAAAGAGGCAGUUGCAUACCUUAUAGAGGAGCCAGAGCACAACUCUACAGAGCAAAAAGAAGAAUGCAAUAGUGAGAAGCAGUGUGGUCAGGUAUCUUCUUUUAUAUACUUUUAUAUAGCUAGCGGGUUCAGGCGGGAUAGGGGAUAUUCUGAUUAAUUUUCUGGGUAGUUUUGUCUAUUCGGUUAUGUAGAGGAUGUUCAUAGCAACAUGCAUGUAUGCCAACUUUAACAUAAGAGAGCUUCAAACUCGAACUUUAAGCAAAGCAGACAUAUUUGGGCUUAUCCUGCCCAAUAUUCUUGUAUAGCACUGUACAAACAAGAUACUAACAUAGGGUGCAGACAUAUAUUCUAAAGUAGCAUGUACUAUACUUGAUCAUUCCCAAUGGUUAUUUGUGAUGUUCUUGUUCUCACUAUAAUAUUCUUUGUGGCCUAUAUCUCUCGUAUUUCUGUUAUAAAAAAUCACCCAUGGAACAUAUAUCUGUGGAAGUUAGGUAUCCUUCUUUAGUGAAACAUCAUUCAGACUUGUGCAUAAGGGUUUCUAAACGUAGGUUGCUUUGAGUAAGGAUCUUGUAUAGAUCAGGGUAUGCGUCACUCACUAUGAUUACCUUAUCUGAUUAUUCUAGACACCACCCCUCACACGAGAGUCAUCUUCUUUUUAACGUUUUGUUUGGAUCAAAGGUCAUUUUUCAUAUUAUCUAACACAAUAAACCUGCAAACUACAUAUAUCAUUUUCCUACAAGGUACUGUGUUACUUACAAGUAUGUAGAGCUACAUAUAUUGUGUACUUACAAGUGUGUAGAGCUUCGUCCGGUCACGACCUUCAAUCUCCACCUGUGGUGCAUUGAGCACGGCAGAUGAUCGUACCCCAGUGCCAUUUGUAAUCUCCUUCUCACCAUAAUUAAUCCUCAUGGCAGCUGACUUUACGAAAGGAUCCAACACAUCACCAAUUACCUGGCUCAGUGCCAAAGGGUCCCUGCCCCGCGACAUAACUUGGUUUUAUUAUUGUAGGAAGGCUACACAAGAGGAUUUUACUGACACUUCGAUCGACUAGGCUGUGAGAAAUGCUCAAUAUGGUGGAAGGGCUGGCUGAAAAUUUUCUGUGUGGAAGAACAGAGUAGUUCAUCGUAAAUUUAUAGGAGUGAGGCAUCCAACUUUAUGUUCACAACAUUCCAUUGUGCACUAUGAGCAAAUGGAAUCUAACUUUUCAUAAAAUAUUAUUAUUUUCCUUAUAGUUCUUCUUUGUUGCAUGGAAAUGUUGAGCACCUAUCAAUCUCCAGAUGGCCUAGUUGUAGCUGUGGCUGGCCAUGAUCUUAGUGAAUGGCCUGUAUGGUAAGUUGUUCCUGCAUAUAUUCCCCAAAGAUCUGGAGGCAUGUUUAAAGCUCCAAGAAUUAGCCUCCCCUGCAUGACGCCUUGCCUGGGCUAGGACAAAGGUUUGCAAUGGGUCAUUUCAUGUUCAACGAUACUUCUUUGAGUGGUGAGCACUCAGCUUUAGAGAGAAUAUUUCGAUCAACAUCAGAAUGCAAGAGUAUGAAACCCGGGGAGGUAGAAACAGGUCAUAAGCAAUUUUCAUUGUUCUUGACAGCAAUGGUAGUAUCUAGUACUUCACCCUUCACCCUCGAGUGGAAAAGUAUUCGCAGGUCCUAUCUUACAGAGUUGUCACCUACUGAGGCUUCACAUGGACCAUAAAAACAGUCAGAGAGGCUUCACAAAGAUAAUGCUGAAGACCUUAAAUCGUGGUAACGAAUUAACAGGAUGCGGCUGUUCUUGUUUACUUGAGAAUAGCAGGGUGUCUUAUUGUGAUUACUUUCAGCGAACUCAGACUUCCUUUUAGGACUAUGACAUCGUAUAACCAGAUUAGGCAAGCUUAGUCUUUCUAUACCUGGAUAUCAUGAGGUAGCCUGCUUGACUAUGUGAGGAUGCCUAAUUCUUCUAAUGUGCAAAAUGAAAUAUAUAUUCAUUUUUUAUUUCGAUAUCAUCUACGCAUGUAUUCAUGUUUGAUUACCUCUUUCCUUGUGCACAUUGCACAAAAUACAGCUGCACAUGACCAGCUGGAAGAAACAGGUACUGGAUGAGCAUCUCCUGGUUCAAGUUGCAGAAUCAAUGUCUUUGAUAUUGUCAGAAUCAAGCCAUAUUCCAGAUUCUCCAUAUCAUUUGAAAUCUGGCUGCGAGCAGAAAUUUCACCCUUGAUGAUACAAAUGGGCAUUUGGAGAUAGGUGUUAUCACCUGGAGCUUGCAUUCAAACUGUACCUGCAAGAAUACUACAUCCAGCUGCCUCGUCUCUCCACAUAAACAUCCAUAUCAGGCAAUCAGCAGCGUGACGAAGAAUCCAUGCAGAUUUUGUAUUUUCAGCUGGGAAUAAAAGAUCAGAUGGGCAUCUCCACCAGGACCUUGCUAGCAGAAAGGCAGAAGAUCAACUUUAAAUUGCUGAAAGUUCUCGCAUGACAAUCACAAGGGAAAGGCACCAAGGAAUUUCCCCGCACCGCAAACUACCUACACCUGACUUUCGUGGAUGAACUCUCUCCAUGCAUGCCAACCCUCGCUGCGGCGCUACCUAUGCUUCGUCUAUACUGUUUGAGGGCAGGCUGGAAACAGCGCUAAAGGUCAUCUAAUCCAGGUCAGAGCUGAAUCUAUUCUAGUGGAGUGCAGUCUUAUCAUUUGGCAAUCCUGCAUCUACAAAUUGCUGAUACAGCUUGCAGCAUAUAUACUGUUUGUCAUGACGGGCUACAGUACCGGCAUGGCAGGCUGCAGUAGCAAAAUGGGCCAAGAACAGGAAAACAGAGCAAGUCAGUCCCAUAGUUGGCAACGGGGUGGCAGCUUGCUGAUUGGUGGGUCCAGAGUCCAGAGACUGGGUCGGUGUGGAUUGCACUCUGUUAUGUAGAACGACAAUGACAAGUGGGCCUAAUAGUGGAGGAAUGAGAGUGAUGUACUUUAUGUUCUCGGGUGACGGGGACAUAACAUUGUUGCAGCAGCUUGUGCUGACUCCUGUGGGGCUAUGUAAUCUGUGCAAGAUUUUCACUUUCUAAGAGCUUACAGCAAUCUCAGGUCAAUUAAUCCAGUGUGAAGAACAGAACAGUGUGAUAACACGCAGCAGCAAGAAUGGGUUGGUCGGAGCAAUUCAGGAAUCUGGUUAUCAAUACUGCUGUAUAUUUACUUAUCUUUCACCAGAGUAAAGAGGCAAAGCCUAGCCGUUGUCCAUUGAUCGUAUAUUUUGGAUGGAUCUAGCUGUUCAGAGUGAAGGGAUUACUAUACACAUUCAACUGGAGCUGUCAUAGAUGGAUGGGGUUCAAACAUGGACUCAGAUCUUCUCGACGGGUUUGAAUGAGGAACGCGAUGAGAACAAGAGCUAAUUUGGACAAGAUGCCAACAUUUUCUAUUAGCAUACACACCGCUAGCGUCCAUCUUAAUCCUAUUUCAGGGCCCUAGUCUCUGAAACUUCUUUGUACCAUAUUUCAGGGCCCUGGUUUCUGAAAUGCCUUAUAUUUUGUGAAACAGUGUUGCUAAAUCUCAGUCGACCAGACUUGGCUAUGUCUCAGUCAAUGCUAUAUUUGUGAGAUUUUGCAUGGAGAUUUGCGCAAAAAAUUAAUUUAGUUUUUUUUUCUUAUAUGUUAUGUACUUGAGUGAGAAUUGCUUAAGUCUCAGUCGACUAAGACCUAGCGACAUCCUUUGUAAAAUUCCAGUCAUUUUUGUUUUCAUUUUGUAUUUGUUAUGUAAGUCU